GUGCCAGCAGCCGCGGUAAUUCCAGCUCCAAUAGCGUAUAUUAAAGUUGUUGUGGUUAAAAAGCUCGUAGUUGAACCUUGGGCCUGGCUGGCCGGUCCGCCUCACCGCGUGCACUGGUCCGGCCGGGCCUUUCCCUCUGUGGAACCCCAUACCCUUCACUGGGCGUGGCGGGGAAACAGGACAUUUACUUUGAAAAAAUUACAGUGCUCCAGGCAGGCCUAUGCUCGAAUACAUUAGCAUGGGAAAAUAGAAUAGGACGCGCGGGUUCUAUUUGGGCUGGUUUAUAGGCACCGACGAAAUCAGUGAUGGGGGACGGGCAGGAGCAUCAGUAUUCGAAGGGUGGGAGGUAAAUGCUUGGGAUGAGGAAAGGACUAGGUGCAGGGGAACGGUUUGGCCCAGGUAGGGUGGAUAAGGCAGGGAGGAACUUUAGAGGAAAGGAAGCCAAGCAAACGCCCGCUAGACGAUCAACGGGAAACGUGCGGGCGGUGGUGGGGGGUGAUGAUAUGUCGCGGCCAGACAGCACCGAAUGUAGUAGCGUAGGGAGUGGUGUGGAGUGUGUGGUGGGUCGAUUGGCAUAUACAUAGAAGGAAGAGCUCGCAGGCUUUAGAUGUUUGGCGUCAUGUAUUGAUGGGAAUAGCAGCUAGAGUACGAACAAGGUGAUGAAGUUUGGGACAUGUGGCUUGAAGUGCUAAAUUGUUCAUGAUGGUAGUCGCUCGACCAUGGCAUGAAAUUGAACGACCCUAAGCAGCAGACUUGACGAUCCGAGUUGAACGACAGACCAGCUGGUAUAGA
rnacentral:rRNA from 1 species